CUAACUCUUCUCUAAGAAAAAACCUCCUACAUGAAUGCCCCUCUCAAUUAGGACUCUCCUAGCUAGAGUCCUAACAGAAUGUACCUCUCAAUUAGGACUCUCCUAGCUAGAGUCCUAACAAAAUGUCCUUCUCAAUUAGGACUCUCCUAGCUAGAGUCCUAACAGUUUUACAUGAAUGUCCCUCUCAAUUAGGACUCUCCAAGCUA
rnacentral:lncRNA from 1 species